rnacentral:rRNA from 1 species
AUACGGAGGGUGCGAGCGUUGUUCGGAAUUACUGGGCGUAAAGGGCGCGUAGGCGGCUUUACAAGUCAGGUGUGAAAGUCCACGGCUCAACCGUGGAAGUGCAUUUGAAACUGUAAGGCUUGAGUACUGGAGGGGAGUGUGGAAUUCCUGGUGUAGAGGGGAAAUUCGUAGAGAUCAGGAGGAAUACCGGUGGCGAAGGCGACACUCUGGACAGAUACUGACGCUGAGGCGCGAAAGCGUGGGGAGCAAACAGGAUUAGAAACCCCAGUAGUCC